GAUGAACGCUGGCGGCGUGCCUAAUACAUGCAAGUAGAACGCCGAAGGAAUGAGCUUGUUCUUUCCGGAGGAGCGGCGAACGGGUGAGUAACGCGUAGGUAACCUGCCUGUUAGUGGGGGAGGACUACGGGAAACGAUAUCUAAUACUGCAUAACAGUACAUGUGGCAUGAUAUCUACGUAAAAGGUGCAUUGGCAGCACUACCAGACGGAUCUGCGUUGUAUUAGCUCGUUGGUGAGGGAACGGCUCAACAAGGCGACGAUACAUAGCCGAGCUGAGAGGGUGGUCGGGCACCAUGGGACUGGGACACGGCCCAGACUCCCACGGGGGGGAACCGUAGGGGAACUUCGGCCAUUGGCGGAAGUCCUACCGCACCACGACGCGUGGGUGGAGAAAGUUUUCGGAUCGUUAAACUCUGUUUUAAGGGAAGAACAAGCGUGAGAGUAAAACGUUCACGCUGUGACGGUACCUUACCAGUAAGCACCGGCUAACUACGUG
rnacentral:rRNA from 1 species